AGUUUGCAUAAAGAGAGGAAAUCCUCAGCAACCUAGAUUACCAACUAAGGUGCUUUUUGAUGUGGUUUAACGACAAAAAAUGGUAUUUU
ncrna:unclassified sequences SAM-I/IV variant riboswitch